ACAAAGGCAGUACUCUCGCCACCACCUCGUCUCCAAGUUGGUAUCCACUGGUUCCGAGAUUUCCAGAACUUCUGCAUUGCCUGCAAUCGGAGAUUGCUCCAUGGUUUUGGUAAUCCAGAACUGAUCGUGUUAUCUGGGAACACACGCACUCCGCCCGCACCAAGACCGAGAGUGAUAUAAAACUAUUACAAAAAAAGUAACAAAUCUUUAAUAUGUAUUGAAACACACAUCUUGCAUAUCAAUUUUACAUUUAGCAACACUAUAAAAUAUCUUACUAACAAUAA